UACGUAGGGUGCAAGCGUUUGUCCGGAAUUAUUGGGCGUAAAGAGCUCGUAGGCGGUUUGUCGCGUCUGCUGUGAAAACCCGAGGCUCAACCUCGGGCCUGCAGUGGGUACGGGCAGACUAGAGUGCGGUAGGGGAGAUUGGAAUUCCUGGUGUAGCGGUGGAAUGCGCAGAUAUCAGGAGGAACACCGGUGGCGAAGGCGGGUCUCUGGGCCGAUAUUGACGCUGAGGAGCGAAAGCGUGGGGAGCGAACAGG
rnacentral:rRNA from 1 species